GAGAAAACCAUGGUUGCAGAGGCAACACAUCCUUUCCUUGAACAGUGUGCACUUGAGGAACGAAUUAAGACCCGUAAACAAGGAUGAAAGCCCCCGCCCCGCAGACUUCAGCUCCUCCUCCAUGAAGGACGCCGCCUGGGAGGUGAGUCCAGGCCGGGCCAGGGAGGGCCUCCUGUGGGAAGGUGCAUUUUCACCUUACAGCCGGGAAGUAGACAGCUGCGUCACAGUUUCACUCAUGCCGGUCUCUUCCUGUGCACAUUCAAUGUUAACAUUAUUCUGGCAAAAGCCUUGCUGCAGAUAGUCUCUCCGGUCCCUCCUACAUCUCUUUCCAGAAGACAGUUUAAAAGGACACAUUUCAUCACCUCUCAGAAGGGGUUAACAUCACAGAAUUCCAAGUCUGAGGGUGGAGCCCUGAUCCUGAGAAGGUUUUGUUGAGUUCGGGACAGUAUUUCUUUACCCAUCCUUCAUGAAGAUAAAAAAUGAGGCAAAAUAGACACUAAAAUGGUCUCUGACAUCUCCUCAUGCCACCAGACAAGGAGUAACCAUGGUAACAAGAAGCCUAGAAAAAUUGGGGAAUGAGGAAGACCAGGAAUGAGAGCUCCCCUCAGCCCUGGGGGGACCUGAGUGUCCACAGCUGAGCCUUCUCUGCUUCCCUUUUCUCUUCUGGAUUCUGAUGGAGGAUAUUUUCAUCUUCCUCCCAAAAUCAUCAGAAAGCAUAAGGACAUAUAUAAACCGCUUUGCAAAAAGAGAGUGUAUGGAAUAAAAGAGAAAAUGAAGAAGAGGAGAAAGGCUGGAGUGCAAUGGUGUGAUCUCAGCUCACUGCAGCCUCAACCUCCCUGGCUCAGGUGAUUCUCCCACCUCAGCUUCCUGAUUAACUGGGAUUACAGUAAUGGUGAAAUUGCCGGUAAUCGCUAAGUAAAAACCACUGAAGAACAGGACAGAAGCCAAUGACCACCUCACCUCCACCGAGUGCCCUGCAGAAAAAGGAAAUGGAAAUCCUUCCUGUUAUUCUCCGCGUCCCUUCGUAGAAGGCUGCCUGAGAGGUCAGCACAGGAGUCCUCUAAGUGCCCUGCAGAGAACACGGGUCUCGGAGCCGGACAAACCUAAAUUUUGAAACCCACUUUGAGUUUGAACUUGGCUGUGGGAAAGUUACACAAUCGCUCUAAGCCUCUGUUUUCUCAUCAGUAAAACAGAGAGGGGUUGCUUGUGUGAGAAGUGGCCGCUGCCAAUCAUCUGCGUGUCCUUCACUCUCCCAGGGGCCAUGGGUCUGUAUUCUACACAUGUGGGAUCUUCCUCUGGACCCUUCGGACAUGGUCCACACGCUGCCCUCAGGAUCUGCUGGGGUCUGCAUGGGGGAAAGGAUGGUUUCCUUGAAGUCUAGAAAAUUUUGUUCCAGUCCAUUUCAACGGUGCAGGAGAAACGUGGCUUCCAUUCCGAGGAAGACGGCGACACCUAGUGACCGUUCCCUCGCGGUGCGAUGGCCUCACACCUGUGCGGCGGGUCGUCCGGGGCGUAGGGUGCUGCGGCCUUGCGGUCUUCCCUGCGCUGCAAGGCAGGGCAUGGUGGCAGAUUAACACCUGGAUGAACACGGGCAGGUCAGGAGACAAAUAAAACCCAGAGGUCUUUGAAACUUCAAAAUCCCGUAGGGUGUGUGACCCCAGUGAGCCCCACGCUACAUCCAGCGAGAACCGAGAAGUGAUGGUGCAGACAUUCUUGGGUCCCCCAGACAGAACACACCGGGAGUUACUGCCUCUUUCUCAUCCCGAGUCCUCCUGACUUUCCCCAGCACCCAUCGUGGCUGCAGCCAGGACACAGAGCCACUGUACCCGUGUGCACCUGUGCUCUGAGACCUGGAUACCCCUGGAAGGACAGACACCGAGGACCCGAGUGCACUGGAGUCCCGCUCCCACAGAUCCUGCUGCUGGGAGAACUGUCAGCCAGGAACGGGACUGCGGUGGGGAAUUCCUUCUGUCAACACACUUUCUAAUCUAAGCUCCAGACUCCACUUCCAGACUAGCACAGGCUUUUUCCCCCACAUCUCCUUCUCUGCAGCCGGGGCUCCUGCCGGGUCUGCGGAGCCCAGAGCCAUGCUCUCUGCCGACUCCAUCUCCAGAUGCCUGCCCCGGCACCCACGCUGUUGCCAGGACACCAGUGAACCCAGACAGGGAGCUGGGAGAUGGGAACAUCACUAGACCACGAGCCGGAAUUGCUGCAGGAGGAUUCCCACACUCUGGGCCUCCGUGGGCACCACGAGGACUGGACGUGCGACCCCAGCUCUCUGGGUCUCAGUUUCGUCUCCUGCAGAGCAUCUGAGCUAGACCGUCUCUAAAAUUUCAUCAAGCUCCUGUAUUCCAUUCUAUU
ensembl:lncRNA LINC02668 long intergenic non-protein coding RNA 2668